rnacentral:rRNA from 1 species
AUGAGUCUCAUGAGUUGGAAUUGUCGCGGGGUGGGUAACGCGACAAUUCAUGAGCUUCGUGAUCUCGUGAAGCAUUUUACCCUGGCUGUACUAUGCAUUGUAGAAACACAAAUUGAUUGAGUAUGAGUCAAGAAUAUGAAAGCUACUUUAGGCUAUGACAAUAGUUUUGCUGUAAGCUCCUCAGGGAGAAGUGGUGGUUUAGGAAUUUUUUGGAAUGAAGAAAUAAAGUUGAAUCGACCAUGUAUCCUUCAGAUUUCAUAUGUACAAGUAUACCCUCAAAACAUAAUUCCAUCAAGUGUCUCAUAUCACUAA